ACAGCAUUUACUCCCUUUCAUAGUGGCAGAAAUCAUAAACCCAAGAAUAUUUAAGAAGAAAUGAAUUAAGGAAGAAGAAUCACAUCAAUACUGGAAGAGCUGAGGCUUGCAAAGGGAUGUCACAAGGGAAAUGAGACAUCGGUUAUAUGCUGGAAAGUUCUACCUGGGAGUCACAUUCUGCUUCACCUCUGAUGACAAAUCCUUCCGUGGCCAUGUUUUCAGACGUCCUACUCUCAAGAGCAGAAAGGCCUCUCAAAGCUACAGGAAGGAGCGUUGCCUCAUACGCAAUUGGAUGUUGCUGCUUAGCAGUCUCAUCCAUCCGUGUUGCUACUGCGUAAGCAGUUGGACAAGUCUCCCAGUCUGGCAGUCACUGUCCUAAAGAAGGGGCUGUAUGUAAAUCAAUAGUCCAGGUGUUUCCUGGAUGGAAGAGUAAUGAGAUUAAAAAAUACAAAAUCGCCCAUGCAGGCUCUUGGCUCAUGAGCCUGCCCUAGCUGCUGCUCAUAAAAGCAGUUGCUGCCUGCUCAUCCUGAAGCAUCUCUUGCCCAUUCUGUCUUGGCAGAGAAACUUGGACACAUGCUUGCCUCAGUUUGCAAUGUGAUCUAAAAAGCCCUGUAAGAGUCUGCAGUGGGGGUUCCCAUGACAUGCUGGUUCAUGUCUGUCAUCUGUCCAUCAUUCUCCAACUAGCUUUUUUAUUCCUUAGUUUUCCAGCAGAAGGGAAGAGAGUGACCUUUAUUAGACAGGUGCUAAGAAGCACUUUGUUAACAAAGUGUCCAGUAGUGUCUGCACCUCUCACUCAAGAGUUUUUGGUUGUGGAUCUGUUUGUUUGUGAUUUAAAAAAAAAAAAAAUAUUUCUUCCCCCCACCCCAGCUUCAUACUUACAACAUGCUGGUGUCUGCCACUCUGGUGGCUUGUCUGAAGUCCAAUAAACAUGAUUGCAUAUCUGACUUGGAAUUUUCU